ACCGUUGAGACGCGGCGAUGAAUGGCUUCGUAAAGCCAAGGUCGGGAGUUCAAAUCUCUCCAGCGGCACCA
rnacentral:tRNA from 1 species